rnacentral:misc_RNA from 1 species
GAUGAAGAUGAUUCAAGAUGCCACUGAGAGGUAUCUCAGGCAGCAGAGGUUGAGCUUUGAUGGUGAUAGUAUUUCAGCAAGUAAUCAAACAUUGGCAGGCCCGGGGGAGAAAGUCAGCAAUGGCAUUAUGCUUGGCAGCAGUCAUCAAGAUUCUGACAAAGAUCAUCCUGCAACUUUUUCUAUGGAAGUGUCUGCAUCCUCUCCGGCCACUGGAUAGAUAAUGCCUUUAACAAUGCAAUGCUGUAUUGACCAUCCAUGGAGGAUUUGGGAGCUGAUUGCAAGGGUAAUUCUCUUUGUACAUUUCCACAUUGGCAUUGCGCUUCUUUGUUCUGUACAUAAAGUAUAGUGGAGUGGGCAACA